rnacentral:rRNA from 1 species
GACGAACGCUGGCGGCGUGCCUAAUACAUGCAAGUAGAACGCUGAAGGAGGAGCUUGCUUCUCUGGAUGAGUUGCGAACGGGUGAGUAACGCGUAGGUAACCUGCCUGGUAGCGGGGGAUAACUAUUGGAAACGAUAGCUAAUACCGCAUAAGAGUAGAUGUUGCAUGACAUUUGCUUAAAAGGUGCAAUUGCAUCACUACCAGAUGGACCUGCGUUGUAUUAGCUAGUUGGUGAGGUAACGGCUCACCAAGGCGACGAUACAUAGCCGACCUGAGAGGGGGAACGGCCACACCGGGAAUGGGAAACGGGCCAGACUCCUACGGGAAGGAAGAGUAAGGAAUUUUUGGCAAUGGGGGGAAGGCUUACCGAACAACGCCGCGUUAGGGAAGAAAGGUUUCGGAACGUAAAGCUCUGUUGUUAGGGGAGGACGAGUGUGGGAGUGAAAAGUUCACACUGUGACGGUACCUUACCAGAAAGGGACGGCUAACUACGUG